rnacentral:miRNA from 1 species
UACACCUCAUCAAUCGAAAGGAAUCCCUUCUGGUCCUCAUCCGAAAGGAAUCCCUUCCGGUCCUCAUCGAUCAGAAGGGAUUCCUUCUGAUUGAUGAGGUGUA